AUAUCAGUCAUGCAUAGGCAUAUCAAUAAGCGGAGGAAAAGAAACUAACAAGGAUUCCCUUAGUAACGGCGAGUGAAGCGGGAAGAGCUCAAAUUUGAAAUCUUCAAGGUUUUACCUUGACGAAUCGUAGUUUAAAGAAGUGUUUUCUGUUGAAGUUUUGGUAAAAGUUCUUUGGAAUAGGACAUCAUAGAGGGUGAGAAUCCCGUAUUUGACCAUUACUUUCAGCCUUGUGAUACACUUUCAAAGAGUCGGAUUGUUUGGGAAUGCAGUCCAAAAUGGGUGGUAAAUUUCAUCUAAAGCUAAAUAUUGGCGAGAGACCGAUAGCGAACAAGUACCGUGAGGGAAAGAUGAAAAGAACUUUGAAAAGAGAGUUAAACAGUACGUGAAAUUGUCAAAAGGGAAGCGUUUGACACCAGUGUUGUUUUCUCGAAAAUCAAUUAAAAAGAGUUGGAUUUUGUGUUGUAUUGACUUUAUCAGGCUUUCUUCACUCUUUUCCAGCUUUUUUUAAUGCACUUUUCGUUUAACAAGUCAACAUCAGUUUCUUUUGUUGUAAAAAGGUCAUUGGAAGGUGGCUUUCUCUUCGGAGAAAGUGUUUAUAGCCUUUGACUCAUGCAAUCGGAGAGACUGAGGUCUGCAGCGUAGAUCCUUCGGGGUUAGAUACAUUUGUGCUAAGUUAUAGCUUUUCAUAGACAACUUGUUGACUAUGUUUAGUCUUGUAGCUUACUCGCUUAUGCUAUUUUACCUACGCUUAGGAUGUUGAACUCUAUCACACACAG
rnacentral:rRNA from 1 species